rnacentral:sRNA from 1 species
GCCGGGUGUGGUGGUGCAAGCCUGUAAUCCCAGCAGAUUGGGAGGCUGAGGCAGGAGGAUCACAAGUUUAAGGUCAGCUUUAACAAAAGUGAGGCCCUAAGCAACUCAGUGAGACCCUGUCUCCG